UUUAUAGUGAGUUUCUUACCAAAAUCUACAAGGCGGAGAUCGGGGAGGAGGGGAGUGAGAGCAGGGAGAAGCCCCGCUGGACUCCAGCUGGGUGAGGGCAGGCACGUGCUGAGUGGGGACCAUCAGCACGUGACCUGUCCCCGCAGGGCUAGCCAGUGCCCUUCAUUAGGCGCAGCCCUCACUCAGCUGCAUGCAACCAGGGCCGCUGGAGCAGGGCAGCGUGGGAGGCCGUGGGAGGCCGUGGGACCCCACGGAAGUGUCUUGAAAGUUCAGAACUCACCGGCCAUCGCAGACUUAAUUGUGUGGUUUCCGGGCUCCCUUUCCAUUCAUAUUUACUGAGUGAGUCGCCCGGUGCCAGCACCCUUUUGACGGCUCACGAAAUUCACACUGCGUCCCGGUUGAUAGAGCGAGUCCCGCAAGGAACAACCAGCCCAGGCUUUGGCUUCCGAAACUUUCAAAUCAGUGCCUGAUCUCUUUAAAAUUCCUCUUGCCAAAUCUCUCUCUCCAGACAGAGAGGAAAAUCAUUAAUUUUAUAAUGAGACAUAUUAACAGGAAGAGUGGAUUUCAACGGGAACGUGGUUCUCUGUUCAGGACACUGCGUUCAGGUCUGUUUACCUAAACCGGACUGGACUGUGUACUCACUCACUUGUUCCAUUGAGAAUUGCUUAUAGCGGUGGUUCUCACCUGGUUGUGCUUCAGAAUCAUCUGGAGAACUUGGAUGUACAGGUACCAGGUCACAUCACAGACACAUUCUGGGAUUGGGGGGAGGGGUGGUCCAGAUACUGGUAUUUUUUAUUCUGCUUUUUUGCUGUUUCUGAUACACAACUAUAUUUAAGAGCAAAUACUUUGUGUGAUAACCCUGAGUCGUUCUGUCUUUUCCACUUUGCCAGACAAAUAUGGUGAUCUACAUUUUUUCCUCCAUUGACUUUAUUACCCUGACAUGGAAUGGGAACCGUCUGUCCCGGAGGAGGAGGGGCCACAGGGCUCCUCAUUCAACAGACGUUUGUUUGCCUCCUUGAGCAUGAGGGUUUGUACUGAAUUUUUUUUUUUUUUUUUUUUUUUUUUUUGGCAAACCCGGUAAAUAUGACACCUCAGGAAGAACAUUGGGGCCCAAUACGCAUUUAUCUAUAAUAUAAUUGACUUUAGCCAACAGAGGAGAGAGGGAAGGAGUUAUACCUAUUUCGGUUCUGGAUUAAGGAAGAAUACUAGUUUUUAUCAAGUCUUUACAUAUGCCAGAUGCAGACGUGGAGGCAUGAAGAAGUCCAGCACUUUAAGGCCAUAGCCCUAGUGCAUGGAUUGUACACUAUUGCUCUAGAAGAAUGCACAAAAAUCAGAAUGGAUUCAUCCCCAGAAAAAUAGAGAUGAAAACACAUUCUUCUUCCAUAUAAUUAGAGUCUUAGAGGACAAUCUCCGAGUGUAUACGUAGGCAGAGAAAUGAGUGAGGGGAUGGCAAUUGAGGAUGGAAGAAGGUUAGGUCACCCUGACCCUAACUCUGUAUUCUAUAUUGGACGCUGUGCCUCGCUAAGCCAAAGAAACUACCAGCCAGCCUUUACUGGCUGAGACCCAGGCCAUCUACACAAGCUCCAGGCUAACUCUAUAAAGCUAUUCCAGGAGACCAUUGGCAGCUCCAGCUCCAUCCCCAACAUGCACUGGGCACAUCGGCUUCCAUACCUAUAAGUCACAACUCAUUUCCACCAUCAACAAGGGGCCACGCUCAUUAUUGUGCGAUCACCCUGUGCUAACUCGUAUAUUGCUACUUAUAAUAAGCGUAUCACUGGCUAAAGCUUAGACUAUCACUUUGUUGUGGUGGAAUUUUUCUUAAAAGAUAAACAGGAUGUAGAAAGUUCCAGCAUGCAUGUCAACAACCACAGAAACGGCCACGAUCAACCACGUGGGUGCGCUGCCAGAGCAGUGCGCCCAUCACCGUCCCUUCCGAGAAGCAUUCGCAUGUUGGCCACAGCCAGCCCUCCCUGCUGGUAAAAGUCAAACCCCCUGUUCACCAAAGAACCCGAAACAGUGAAGUCUGGUUACACUUUCUCUCUAAUACAAACGUGCCAAAGGAAAAAAAAGAGCGGUGGCUUGCCACAUUGGAGAUGUUGCCAGCCUCCGAGCCUACAGAAAUGGUCCCUGCAAUGGUCUUGAAGACCAGCUCUGUGGGUCUCUGUGGCCUCGCACAGUCCCGCAGGUGAAUGACCAAUGGCCAUCCCAUCCACAGCAUGGUGGCUUGCCGCCAUCUCCCUUGGGGCACUCCCCACUUCAGCACACCAUUCCUAGAGCCUCACUGGUGUUCAUUAGAACCCAGGAGAAGCCGGGCUCCAGCUCCUCACUUCUCAGUGUGGGUGCCCAGGCCCAGCCCUACUCAGGCUUGUUCACUGGAGCCAGAGGCCCACCCUCACAAGCUGUGUAAAUUUACAUGUGAUUUUAAUAAAAAAUAGGUGCAUGCAAUGCAA